CAGUGCAUGGCGCUUUGAUAUAGCAGGUUCUGUGAGAGCUUGAAGGAACCAGAAGACACGCCCCCAAGAAACUCAGAAAUAAACUUGAUGCUGAACUGGAACGGCCAUGCUGGGGGUGGAAGGUCCUAGAGAAAGAAUUCACUUUUGAAGAAGAGAACACUUGAGGGGAGAAUUGCCCUGGUUGGAAGAGACCGAGAGAGCGCAGAGAUCCUGAACAUGUGAUGUCUGCCAGGUCACGACUGUUUCUAUUGCUGUAACAUUUCUGAAGAGCUGAACUGAACCACGUGGCUGACUCCUUUUGCAAGCCCUUCCCAUCUCGAUGUGCCCCUACUUAACCCUCAGUGGCGAGGACAGGUGGUGGAAAGCAGGCCGAGCAGUGCUGAGGAAUUCUCUCUGCAGCCCUGGGAAAACUGUCCACGCAGCCCGCAGCCCCCAGCUCUUGUCACCUGGCUCUCCAGCCAUAGGACCCCUGCCCUCUUACAGCCUGUGGAAGAGAGAGGGGCUCCAGGAACAGAGUUCGGGGAGCAUAGGGGAGGGCCCAGCGAGAGAUGGAGAAAGGGCAUGCAUUCGUACCUGUCUGCAUUUUGGUUUCCUAAUCUUAAAACGAGGGACUCGAACUAUAUUAUUCUUUCUCUAAGUGGGGUCUAAGGACCCAGGGGACCCAAAAGUUCUCUGAGAACCAGGUAUUUUGU